rnacentral:rRNA from 1 species
UACAGGGGGGGCAAGCGUUGUUCGGAAUUACUGGGCGUAAAGGGCUCGUAGGCGGCCAACUAAGUCCGACGUGAAAUCCCAAAGCUUAACUUUGGAACUGCGUCGGAUACUGGAUGGCUUGAAUUCGGGAGAGGGAUGCAGAAUUCCAGGUGUAGCGGUGAAAUGCGUAGAUAUCUGGAGGAAUACCGGUGGCGAAGGCGGCAUCCUGGACCGGCAUUGACGCUGAGGCGCGAAAGCCAGGGGAGCAAACGGG